rnacentral:tmRNA from 1 species
GGGGAUUAAUAGGGAAAUAAAACUGUAACUGAGUUCGUAAACUACUUGUGCAUGUGAGAGUUUGAACUGAGAAAACGAUAAUUGCACUACGCCCGUAGAAGACUUGGAUGAUAGCUAGAGGACCCGGGUUCAAUUCCCGGCACCUCCACUU